rnacentral:rRNA from 1 species
AUGUCGUCCUCCUACCUAUGCUCGGCCUGCGGCUCCCGCACCCACCGCAGGAACCACUGCGUCGCCUCGCCGUGCUCACGCUGCGGGGGCAACGGCCACUUCGAGGCUCUCUGCACCACCCCCACCAGCUUCGACCCCGCCGGCGCAGCUCGCUGCGGCGUCUGCAGCGGCGCGGGCCACGCGGACGAGGACUGCGCCACCACAAAGACCGCCCACAUCCGGUGCGAGACCUGCGGCAAGCUGGGGCACAGGCCCAGGGACUGCCCCACGCGCACCGGCGGCCCCGGCGACCGGUACGCCGCGUGGAGGGGGUACGACGCCUGCGCCUUCUGCGGCGAGCCCGGGCACUUCCUGUCCGCCUGCCCCAAGUGGCGCCGGUAG